CCUACGGGUGGCAGCAGUGGGGAAUAUUGGACAAUGGGCGAAAGCCUGAUCCAGCCAUGCCGCGUGUGUGAAGAAGGCCUUCGGGUUGUAAAGCACUUUCAGUGGGGAAGAAAGCCUUGGGGCUAAUACCCUCGAGGAAGGACAUCACCCACAGAAGAAGCACAGGCUAACUCCGUGCCAGCAGCCGCGGUAAUACGGAGGGUGCGAGCGUUAAUCGGAAUUACUGGGCGUAAAGCGCGCGUAGGCGGUCUGAUAAGCCGGUUGUGAAAGCCCCGGGCUCAACCUGGGAACGGCAUCCGGAACUGUCAGGCUAGAGUGCAGGAGAGGAAGGUAGAAUUCCCGGUGUAGCGGUGAAAUGCGUAGAGAUCGGGAGGAAUACCAGUGGCGAAGGCGGCCUUCUGGACUGACACUGACGCUGAGGUGCGAAAGCGUGGGUAGCAAACAGGAUUAGAUACCCGAGUAGUC
rnacentral:rRNA from 1 species